rnacentral:tRNA from 1 species
GGCCCACUCGUCUAGUGGCUAGGACAACGGCUUCUCAAGUCGUAGAAGACGGAUCGAAACCGUCGUGGGCUACCA